AUCGGGAUGGGGGAGCAGGUGGGUAGGAGGGCGGGGGGAUCCGUCUGAUGCGCAGCUCGCAACUUUAUGAGGAAGAAAUAAAUGCGUAAAAGUGCCUCAGGAAGCACGGAGAUGCGCAGCAUCCGCCUGUUGGAGGGGUCCCGCGUUUUACAAGUACCUCCCGGCACAGGCGGUUUAUUUUACGCGAGACACUAAAAUGGCUCUCCUUCAGCUUGAGCAGAAGGCUUCUGAAGUACGGCAUAAAACCAUAAUGGCACGUAGAAAACCUUUGCUCCACAACUCGCGGUGCGGGGCCCGCCGAUUCUGCUGGGCAGCGCUCCUUGGUGUCCGUGCUUCGGAGCGAUAACGCCGCUGUCGGGCUCGCAGAGCUGCUCGCGCUGCUGGUGGCGGCCUGCCGAGCCUUCGGGCUGUGUCAUCCGCCCGGUGCCGUGCCAGCCCUGCUCGGGUAGGUUGUACUUUCUAGGAUAAGUGAUAUGUUUAAUAUGUUACCAAUUUCUGGGUUUAUAAACCGUACUUCAAAGGAUGUGUGCUUUCGUUAACCCAAGAACUUCUUCCGAACCUGGAUUCUUAACUUUUCUUUCUGCAAAGUCUUAGCUAUAAAUUAGGCAAAUUAAGGAGUACUUAAAAGUGCAACUGUGUUUUCUGUUUUGAAAUGAAUACCGAUUCUGUUUCCUUGUGCCACAGAGACCAUCUUAGAAAGAUUGCAUUAUUAAAUUACGCACAAUGGUUAUAAAAUACAUCUGGCAUCAUCCUAAUCCUUUAGACAUGACCUUUGCUUAGGAGGAAAAACUACCGAUUAUUGCCUGGAUCUUAUCUUUCCAUCAGAAGGAAUUUACAUAAUGACCAAAGAUCAGCAUAUAUUUCCCUGGACUUGAAACAGCAAACAUUCUGCCAUUUCAUGCUAACUACUGAGGAACUUAUUACAGGAGGAGACGAAAGUUUUACAGGAUGUCCUUGAAGGCUUGGGAGCAGCCGUAAAUGAAGAGCCUCCCGUAGACACUCAGUGCUUUGUGGGAAUGUUCAACUGAGAACCUUCUAGCUUUUUGGGCAAGUGCUUUGAGGGUAAAAUAAUGACGGACAGAGAAAUAUUAUGAGAAAAUAACAAAUGUGUUGCAACUAAUAUUUAGUCAUUUUUUUUCUGUUAGCAAUUUCCAAUAGACAGCAGACACGCAUAAUCACUACAUUACAACUGAAAGAUAGGGGGAAAAAAAAAAAAAGAACCACAAAGCAGCAACUCAUGAAUCCAAGAGAAACAAUUGAGUGGACUAAACUUCAGAGGAACUGGUUUAAGCAUCUUCUUCCAGUUGGAAUUCUCCAGCACUGCAAGACAGAGCGUCACUCCAGCCUGGUGUCACUGUCAGCAGAGAGAUGCAGGACGGUGCUACUGCCAAAAGUUCUGCACUCUUUCUCUGUCCCAGCCGUGUGCUCCUGCCAGCCCGUUUGUGUUCCAGGGGUUGGCAGCCUCGUUGCUACAUUAUUGCUCAUACAGACACAACAGAGCUGCGCUGUUUUAGGCCAGCUUAAGUAGAUUGUGAAACUGCAUUUUACAAAUGCCAGCUGUUUAGAGGAGUAAUUUUAAGCCCAUUCAUAACUAUCUCAGACACUGCGUAUGAAGUAAAUGAAACUGUUUAUACUUACUUUAGCGAUGUUUUUUAUCAAACUGUCUUUAGUGGAAGUGGUUUAAAUAUGUGAAGAAUGACACUGUAUACAACAGUGAGAUCUCAGGAUGAUUCCCAACGGCAGAUCAGCACAAUGCAGUGCAAAAUUUUAAGGACAUCACAUUCACUGGAACAACAUCUGUGCAGAGCUAAACUGGUGCACAUUUUUCAGCAUGGAAACUUGUCAUCAACUGUAGAAAUUAUUGCCAACAAUGUUGUAUUUAUGGAAUCAUUGGAGUAUUCAAGGCUUGCUGAUUGUAUUUUGGCUGUUUUGUAAUCCUUAAAUGAUGACUUAUUUAAAUAGAGUAGGUUGGCAAAUUAACGAUAACAGAACCAAAAGACUAAAAGAGGAAGGACUUGUCUUUUCCUUGCCCCAGUGUCUGGACAUUUCAGAAAGUCUUAAAAUUAAAUAAAUUCUUGCCACCCCCUCAAACAAACAAAAUAAAAUAAAAUAAAAGCACACUUUGCUCGGCAUUAAACUUUGAAGCAACGUGAUAUAUUUACCAGACAUGUGAAUGAUCAAAUAUGUUUCUCUAGUGCAGAGAUCUUAACAACAGAAUUUAGUGAGACAAAUAAGUUUUAUAUAAUAUUGCUAUGAUGUUUUACACAUGGGUUACAAAUAGAGGUCACGCAUGCACGCAUGCAGAAUCAAUGCAUGGGGAUCUACCUAUCCUUUGGUUUUGAUAUAACAAAUCCAAGAUUUUUUAUUUUAGCAGAGGUAUAUCAGCUGUAACUUUGCAAUCCUCAUAUUGUCAGUCACUGCUGAAAAUUCAGUGAUGCACAUAGCUUUUUUUUCUUUCUCCUGUCUUUGUAAGCCUUCGAUCUGGGCCUAAAUAACAGUACCCCUUCACUGAUCACCUUCCACUAGCAGAAUGUAGUAUGCUUAUUUGUUAGCACCAAAAAAUUAGCUUAAAGAGAUUUUUAAAUAUAUGGCCCAUCCCAUGAGGAAUAUAUUUGAAAAAUGUUUGUGCUGGACAAGCAGAACCUACAGGGUAGCAAUUAAAUCAUAAGACUGAAAAUAAAAACUAUAAUGAUCUACACAUUUGUCUCCAAAUUAUAUGAUUAAGGAGAUACUAAAUUAGUCAUUAUAGUGAAAGAAUGCAACUACAAAUCUUAACUAAGCAUAUUUGUUGUAGUUCUAUUCAUUAUACUAAUGUACAAGCUUAUAUUUAGCAGUUUUAGAAGCAUUAAAAAAACUGCAAAGCUUCAGAUUACAGCCCAUAUGGGUAUGCUGAGGUUGGCAGUAGUGAUUAAUAGUAUCUUCUGGUUUUGCUUUUUAUAAACCGAACAAUAUUUAAGACAGCCAUGUGGAUGAUUUAGAUGACAAAGAAUUCAAACACUGCACUUACUUGAACAAAAAUUACUGCAUUAAAAAGAGUGUGGGCCAGAGCAGCAUGUAUUAGUUCACUCUUUAUCGCAGUGGAAUGGGUAAACUUUCAGGUUAAAGUGGAACAUCACAGUUUGCAGCACAGUGGUUUGAAUUUACAUAAUACUUAACCCAUUCUACCUAAAUAUUCCUAAAUGAUUAGCUGUCAGUGAAGGCCACAUUCAUCCAACUUAGUGGUGUAUCUUACUUUUCACAGUCUUAUUAGAUUUAAUACAACUACUAGGAAGUACUACUAAAUAGAGAGAUGUGGCUCUACAAGUGCUUUAAACUAACAGUAAUGAGGGCUACUUGGAAAGGAAUAAUCUACUGCCUUUUUCAUGUGCAGUUGUUUAUACCCAUCUCCUCUUUUUUUUUU